rnacentral:rRNA from 1 species
CGGCAGCUCAAGUGGUGGCCACGCUUAUUGGGCUUAAAGCGUCCGUAGUCGGUCGUACAGGUCUUCUGUGAAAUCCUAAAGCUUAACUGUAGGGCUUGCAGAAGAUACUAUACGGCUUGAGGCCGGGAGGGGAGUGGGGUAUUCCAGGGGUACCGGUGAAAUGGUAUAAUCCUUGGAAGACCACCUGUGGCGAAGGCGCCACUCUAGAACGGGCCUGACGAUGAGGGACGAAAGCUAGGGGAGCGAACCGGAUUAGAUACCCGAGUAGUCC